GAUAUCAACUAAAAAGUCAUCAACAACAAAGUUGAAUAACUCAUCAAGAUCUAAAACUUUUAUUUUGGUCAUUUCUUCAUACGACAAAGUGAUAGUAACAUUGUUCACAAAAUUGACAUAUCUCUUAUCUGGUUUUUUAUAAACUAUAGCACAUAUAUGUAAAAUUUAUGAAUAAUAUUACUAACAUUUCGUCAGAUGAAGAAAUAACAAAAAUAAAAGUUUUAGAUCUUGAUGAGUUAUUCAACUUUGUUGUUGAUGACUUUUUCAAUUGAAAUC
rnacentral:pre_miRNA from 1 species